CGCAAUGUGCGUAACUUGGGUCGAGCCCUCGCGCGUAGGGUCUUUGGGCCUCAUAGGCUCGCGGCCCGUGUGGGUUCUUCCUCGACUGGGCCCUCGACUGUGGUUGGGCUAGGCUGCUGAGCCGAUGUCUGUUUUGGUUCUGUCUCUCUCGGGUGUGGGUCUGUUAGAAUGGGCCUCGAGUGAGGGUCAGUCUUCGGGCCUUUCUGAUGGGCCUUGGUCAGCCCACUCGUAAGGGUGUGUGGCAUGGGCUGCCCAUGCUUAUCACAUGCGUGACUUGUUAGGUCGUGGGUUAGGCUUAGCAAGUUAGGUGGCAGGCUGGGGGACUCGGGUCACCUACCUGCGAGCAUCUCCUCUUCGUGCCUCGUCUCAAACUCGCCAUUGUCAUCUUCUAGGAUCAAUUCGAAAGCCCACAACUCAUCGUCAUUGAUGCUACUUUGGGCCGAUUGUCUCGGUGGCCCAUAAGGCUUCCUGGUCUUGAUGGCGUCGAUGAUCUAUCUUACCCGAUCUAGGCUAGCAUGAACUGGGUCCUUAGGUUUAUGGGAUUGGGGCUUGCCGUCAAAUCUCGACUCUGUUUUCUUAGGCCAGGCUUCUUCUGGGCCUUGUUUCUGUAUUGGCGCAAAAUCUGAUAGUUGCCUCCCAGGUGAUUGGAAAGCCCUCCUGGGGUCACAUCAUCCCCUCUUUCUUCAAAAGGAUUCGUCCUUGAAUCCAUCCCAUUAUUGUGUAGUGAUCUUGGAUACAACAAGGAAGCUAAAAAAUAGUGGAAGGUGUUAGGAUGGUACCAAGGUCUGGUGGAACACAUAUGCAUGUGGAACUAUGCUAAUGUCUUGGUGCCAAAAUGCAUGUUGUCCUACUACACCCGUCUCUGCUACCAGACUCACUCUCUAGGUGAAGUUGAGCGUUGGAGUUGGGAUCCCCUUAGGCGAGUCCCUGCAAGUUAGGAAAAAUGGACACAGAGAAAAGUUCCUUGCAAACUCUGGAUUCCCAAACUCUGCAAGCAUGAGUGGAAUGUGCAAUGCAGUGUAAAUGAUGCAGAAAAAAUGAAAAAAAAUCACAAAUUUUUUCCCUUGCACCUACCAGAUAACUUACUCUUCCUCUUGAUGGUUUUCUGAUAAUCUAAUAAGCAGUUACUCUACUUUUGCCAUAUAAGAUGUAAACAACGUGUCAAUUGUCUUAUGGUGUGUAAUUGGGAUAUUUUUGUAUUUUGGAUAAAUAUAUUAUAUAUUUUUAAUAACACGAACUACUUGAAUUAAAUGGAUAGAUAUGAAUUCAAGUAGGAUGCAAUACAAACAAAUCAAAAAAAUUAAUUUGAAUUGUAAUGAACAAAAUGCUAAAGCAAAUAGAGAUAGAUUUGGAUAUCUAGGAGCCAAAGCUCUAAUAAUACCAGAUGACGCGGGAGGGUAUGGGGAGGAUCAAAUCUACUCUUCAAAACUAACUCAACGCAUGCAAUAUCGAAACAAUAACCACCUAGAAUAGAAACCCCUCCCUCUAAUAUAAUCCGCAAUCCUAAAAGGAAAGCAAAAAACAAAGACUAGAGAAAUAAAACAAGGAAAUGAAAAAUGCCACAGACUUACCGAUAAGUUGAUCUCAGCUCUUUGACUCAACAAAACUUCUGAAGACUCCUACUUCCUAAAGAACUUGAAGAAGUUAAUUUUAACAAAAAUACUAAAAGAAAGAAAGCCAAAGCUCUCAAGAAAUUGACUCAAAUUUAUUCUCAAAUGUGUGAUUUACAACAUAGGGGCAAAGGUCUAUUUAUAGCCUUUCCUGAG
rnacentral:lncRNA from 1 species